AAGGUAACGGCUUACCAAGGCAAUGAUGCAUAGCCGAGUUGAGAGACUGAUCGGCCACAUUGGGACUGAGACACGGCCCAAACUCCUACGGGAGGCAGCAGUAGGGAAUCUUCCACAAUGGACGAAAGUCUGAUGGAGCAACGCCGCGUGAGUGAAGAAGGGUUUCGGCUCGUAAAGCUCUGUUGGUAGUGAAGAAAGAUAGAGGUAGUAACUGGCCUUUAUUUGACGGUAAUUACUUAGAAAGUCACGGCUAACUACGUGCCAGCAGCCGCGGUAAUACGUAGGUGGCAAGCGUUGUCCGGAUUUAUUGGGCGUAAAGCGAGUGCAGGCGGUUCAAUAAGUCUGAUGUGAAAGCCUUCGGCUCAACCGGAGAAUUGCAUCAGAAACUGUUGAACUUGAGUGCAGAAGAGGAGAGUGGAACUCCAUGUGUAGCGGUGGAAUGCGUAGAUAUAUGGAAGAACACCAGUGGCGAAGGCGGCUCUCUGGUCUGCAACUGACGCUGAGGCUCGAAAGCAUGGGUAGCGAACAGGAUUAGAUACCCUGGUAGUCCAUGCCGUAAACGAUGAGUGCUAAGUGUUGGGAGGUUUCCGCCUCUCAGUGCUGCAGCUAACGC
rnacentral:rRNA from 1 species